GAUGAACGCUGGCGGCGUGCCUAAUACAUGCAAGUCGAGCGAACAGACGAGGAGCUUGCUCCUCUGACGUUAGCGGCGGACGGGUGAGUAACACGUGGAUAACCUACCUAUAAGACUGGGAUAACUUCGGGAAACCGGAGCUAAUACCGGAUAACAUGUUGAACCGCAUGGUUCAACAGUGAAAGACGGUCUUGCUGUCACUUAUAGAUGGAUCCGCGCCGCAUUAGCUAGUUGGUAAGGUAACGGCUUACCAAGGCAACGAUGCGUAGCCGACCUGAGAGGGUGAUCGGCCACACUGGAACUGAGACACGGUCCAGACUCCUACGGGAGGCAGCAGUAGGGAAUCUUCCGCAAUGGGCGAAAGCCUGACGGAGCAACGCUGCGUGAGUGAAGAAGGUCUUCGGAUCGUAAAACUCUGUUAUUAGGGAAGAACAAAUGUGUAAGUAACUAUGCACGUCUUGACGGUACCUAAUCAGAAAGCCACGGCUAACUACGUG
rnacentral:rRNA from 1 species